rnacentral:rRNA from 1 species
UACGUAGGGUGCAAGCGUUGUCCGGAAUUAUGGGGCGUAAAGAGCUCGUAGGCGGUUUGUCGCGUCUGCUGUGAAAACUCGGGGCUUAACCCCGGGCCUGCAGUGGGUACGGGCAGACUAGAGUGCGGUAGGGGAGACUGGAAUUCCUGGUGUAGCGGUGAAAUGCGCAGAUAUCAGGAGGAACACCGGUGGCGAAGGCGGGUCUCUGGGCCGUAACGGACGCUGAGGAGCGAAAGCGUGGGGAGCGAACAGG